rnacentral:rRNA from 1 species
CCUACGGGUGGCAGCAGUGGGGAAUAUUGCACAAUGGGGGAAACCCUGAUGCAGCGACGCCGCGUGAGUGAAGAAGUAUUUCGGUUUGUAAAGCUCUAUUAGCAGGGAAGAAAAUGACGGUACCUGAUUAAGAAGCCCCGGCCAACUACGUGCCAGCAGCCGCGGUAAUACGGAGGGGGCAAGCGUUAUCCGGAUUUACUGGGGGUAAAGGGGGCGUAGACGGGAGCGCAAGUAUUGAGUGACAUGCCGGGGCUUAACCCCGGAACUGCUUUGGAAACUGUGCAGCUAGAGUGCAGGAGAGGUAAGUGGAAUUCCUAGUGUAGCGGUGAAAUGCGUAGAUAUUAGGAGGAACACCAGUGGCGAAGGCGGCUUACUGGACUGUAACUGACGUUGAGGCUCGAAAGCGUGGGGAGCAAACAGGAUUAGAUACCCGGGUAGUC